rnacentral:rRNA from 1 species
AAUACCUACGGGACGCAGCAGUGAGGAAUAGUGGUCAAUGGAGGCAACUCUGACGCAGUGACGCCGCGUAUAGGAAGAAGGUUUUCGGAUUGUAAACUAUUGUCCUCAGGGAAGAAAAAAGACUGUACCUGAGAAGAAAGCUCCGGCUAACUACGUGCCAGCAGCCGCGGUAAUACGUAGGGAGCAAGCGUUAUCCGGAAUUAUUGGGUGUAAAGGGUGCGUAGACGGGAUAACAAGUUGGUUGUGAAACCCCUCGGCUCAACUGAGGAACUGCAACCAAAACUAUUAUUCUUGAGUGCAGGAGG